CCUACGGGAGACAGCAGUGGGGAAUAUUGCGCAAUGGGCGAAAGCCUGACGCAGCGACGCCGCGUGAGGGAUUAAGGUCUUCGGAUCGUAAACCUCUGUCAGCAGGGAAGAACGGUCACUGUGCUAAUCAGCAGUGACUUGACGGUACCUGCAAAGGAAGCACCGGCUAACUCCGUGCCAGCAGCCGCGGUAAUACGGAGGGUGCGAGCGUUAAUUGUAAUUACUGGGCGUAAAGCGCUCGUAGGCGGGAUGUCCAGUCAAGGGUGAAAUCCCCGCGCUCAACGUGGGAACGGCCUUUGAAACUGGGAAACUGGAGUGUGUGAGAGGAUAGUGGAAUUCCAGGUGUAGGAGUGAAAUCCGUAGAUAUCUGGAGGAACAUCAGUGGCGAAGGCGACUAUCUGGCACAUAACUGACGCUGAGGAGCGAAAGCGUGGGUAGCGAACAGGAUUAGAUACCCCAGUAGUC
rnacentral:rRNA from 1 species